AUGGUGGCGCGCUUCGCUCCCCGCGUGAAACCUCAUCGUCUCGGUCGGUCCAUGUGGGCGGAAGCUGCUCCUCUUCGUCCCGAACCACACCCACCGCCCGUCUUCUCCGUGCCGCCACUGCAAGACCUCAACGCCCGCCUGAAGCGCCUGGUCCAGUCGGGCCGGCUCCUGGACGCGCAGGCCCUGUUCGACGGGGCGCCGCACCGCGACGAGGCCUCCUACUCCGCCCUCCUCGCCGGCCAUGCCGCGGCGGGGGAUGUCGCCGGCGCGAUGGCGCUCUUCUCCCGCAUCCGCGCAUCCUCGCUCCCGGCCGCUGACCCCUUCGUGCUCAGCCUCGCGUUCAAGGCCUGCGCUGCGGCCGCCGACGCCAGCCACGCCGCGUCACUGCACGCCUUCGCCGUCAGUUCCUCGGCUGUCUCCUCCGUCUUCGUCGCCACCGCGCUGGCCGACGCCUACGCCAAGGCCGGCCGCCUCGCGCUGGCACUCAGGGUGUUCGACGAAAUGCCGCUCAAGAACGUGGUCUCCUGGACCACGCUCAUCUCCGCACUGGCGCGGGCCGGCCGCCGCCACGACGCGGUCCGCCGCUUCGCCGAGAUGCGCGCCUCCGGCAUGCCCUGCGACUCGCACGCCUUCGCGGCCGCGCUCACCGCGUGCGCCGACACCGGGCUGCUGUCGCGCGGCCGUGAGGUGCACUCGCUCUGCGCCAAGCUCGGCUUCGACGCCACGCCCUACGUCGCCAACGCACUUGCCACGCUGUACGCGCGCUGCGGGGACGUCCACCGCGCACUGGCUGCGGUCGGCCGCAUGGGCUCGCGAGACGUUGCCGCGUGGACGACUGUGAUAUCCUCCUACGCGCAGACUGGUCGUGCCAAGGAAGCCAUCCUGGCAUUCGUCGCGAUGCUUCGUGACGGGGCAUCAAACGCGGCAAGGCCCAACGAAUACACAUACGCUGCAGUUAUUGCUGCGUGUGCAAAUAUUUCGUGUGUACAUCUUUGA
rnacentral:rRNA from 1 species